GACAGAGGGUGCAAACGUUGUUCGGAAUUACUGGGCGUAAAGCGCGCGCAGGCGGUCCUUUAAGUCUGAUGUGAAAGCCCCGGGCUCAACCUGGGAAUUGCAUUCGAGACUGCAUAGCUAGGGUGCGGAAGAGGGAAGCGGAAUUCCCGGUGUAGCGGUGAAAUGCGCAGAUAUCGGGAGGAACACCAAUGGCGAAGGCAGCUCGCUGGGACGGUACUGACGCUGAGACGCGAAAGCGUGGGGAGCAAACAGG
rnacentral:rRNA from 1 species